CAGAGGGAGCAAGCGUUGUUCGGAAUUACUGGGCGUAAAGGGCGCGUAGGCGGUCCGAUAAGUCCCGUGUGAAAUCCCCUCGGCUCAACUGAGGAAUGGCACGGGAAACUGACGGGCUUGAGUUCGGGAGAGGGAAGCGGAAUUCCGGGUGUAGCGGUGAAAUGCGUCGAUAUCCGGAGGAACACCGGUGGCGAAGGCGGCUUCCUGGACCGACACUGACGCUGAGGCGCGAAAGCUAGGGGAGCAAACGGGAUUAGAUACCCCGGUAGUCCUAGCUGUAAACGAUGAGUGCUGGGUGUAGGGGGUAUCUACCCCCCCUGUGCCGAAGCUAACGCAUUAAGCACUCCGCCUGGGGAGUACGGUCGCAAGGCUG
rnacentral:rRNA from 1 species